GGUAUGGUUAAAAUCGCAGCAGACAGUCCUUAAUGGUAACUGAGUCUUUCCUCACUCCCAUGCCUGCUUGAAACCACCAACUAUGGAGAGCAUGCAUGUCAGUUUUAAAUACUCUCUUUGAUAUCUUCCUGUCUGGACCUUUUUUGAGCUUUUGUCAGAGAAGUCUUCAAUGUCUCUCAUUCUCAGGCCCAGCAAUAUGUAACUGUCUGUAGAAGCCACUACCUACACGGGAAUGUAAGAGAUGUCUUUUAAGCUUACUAUGAAGACCCUAAUCUCGUGAUACAGAUAAUGUUUGAUCCAAGAAAAACCAAGAGAAGAUAAAUGUAUUAAAAGGUGUCUGGAAGGAAAAGAAUGGCUUCAAAUGAGUUCCGGAGACCACAGCACAGUUCAAAGAGGUAUUCCGGCAGGCAGAGAGCAAAUAUGGAUAAAAAAGAGAGUUAAGUGAAAUUGGUUAAAUAGGAUAAUAAUGGAUGUAGUUGGAGGACUCACGAGGUCUACAUGGAAGCAGAAUUGAGCCUGCAGGGUUGAGUCAAGCUCAAGAGGAGUAGGAUCAUGAAGGUCAGGUACUCCACCUCUGUCUCCAUGAUGCAUGCUGUGAAGCUCUUCACUGAACUGCUUUAGUCUUCCACACUCACCCACCAAGAUGGACUGAAAUCUUAAAAUCGUUGUUCAAAAUAAAUCCUUCCUCUUUUUAAG